rnacentral:rRNA from 1 species
CAGCACCUCAAGUGGUCAGGAUGAUUAUUGGGCCUAAAGCAUCCGUAGCCGGCUCUGUAAGUUUUCGGUUAAAUCUGUAUGCUCAACAUACAGGCUGCCGGGAGUACUGCAGAGCUAGGGAGUGGGAGAGGUAGACGGUACUCGGUAGGAAGGGGUAAAAUCCUUUGAUCUAUUGAUGACCACCUGUGGCGAAGGCGGUCUACCAGAACACGUCCGACGGUGAGGGAUGAAAGCUGGGGGAGCAAACCGGAUUAGAGACCCGAGUAGUCC